rnacentral:rRNA from 1 species
UACGUAGGGUGCAAGCGUUAACCGGAAUUACUGGGCGUAAAGCGUGCGCAGGCGGUUUUGUAAGUCUGACGUGAAAUCCCCGGGCUCAACCUGGGAAUUGCGUUGGAGACUGCAAGGCUAGAAUCUGGCAGAGGGGGGUAGAAUUCCACGUGUAGCAGUGAAAUGCGUAGAGAUGUGGAGGAACACCGAUGGCGAAGGCAGCCCCCUGGGUCAAGAUUGACGCUCAUGCACGAAAGCGUGGGGAGCAAACAGG